rnacentral:lncRNA from 1 species
CGACGGACGGCCCAACGAGAAAAAAACAGCCCAGUCGCCCUAGGGGAGUCAGGGUUAGGGUGGCAGGAGGCGUGCAGGCGAUGGCCACCACGCAUCGGCAUCGACGCAUCGCGCCGCCUCGCGUCUCGGGCUCUCGGCGUCGUCGCUGCGCGCGACCGCGCCGGCUCGCCGCCUCCCGCCCCUGAGAGUGGAGACGGGGGCAGGCGACGCGACGCGACGCGACGCCGCCAUUCUGCCCCCGCCACCCCGCGCGCCGGCGCCGGGUCCCCUGGGCUCUCCGCCUCAGGCCUCAGCGCCUCGCUCGCCUUCGACUCCCUGUCCCUCUCCAGCUCUCUUGCUGCCCUGAGUGCAACGAAUUCGGAUCUGGAAAACGUCAGUGUUUGGCUGUUUGCAACGCGCAACACAGGCUCUAACCACAAGUCUGGAACAUUUCUCCAGGUGACCUCUGUGAGUCUGGGAGCAGUUAAUUCCUAUCUUUUAUGUUUGAUCCAGUUAGCUUCUAAUGGAUCCUGA